AAUAAAACCAACACAGAAGCAAACUUUAGGCAGAAUAUUGGUCAGUUAAAAACAAAGCAAAAUAGAGCUACCAGAUAUACAGACAGGCUCAGUUCCACAUUCACUACUGCAUUUAUCAAGAGCAAGUCUUAACUGGCGGUUUUGUUCGACUUAGGAAAUUUGAAAAUCAGUGCAAGAAUUUUGCUAUGAAGCAGACAGAUGGACAGACACCUAGAAAAGAUACAGCCACGUGGAAUGGUAAAAAGGGGAAUGAUGUGGUUAAAUUGGGACAGUGAUUACAAACAGAAUACAGUACAGCACUGUUAAAUACAAUUUACCAAUUGUUAUUUUAGGUACUGCCAUAGUACUAUCUAGAACACAUUGCUGAAUAACUUAAUGUUCCAAUAUCACCAAUAAUGAUUAGGGAGUCGUUGGAGGAACAUAAAAAUUGCAUGGUAGAGAAUUUAUAUAUUGGAAGCGUUCAACCUAAGUGGGUUGUGCAAAUAGGUUUCAACAGAAUAAUAGGAUCAGGAAGGGCAAGCAGAACAACGUGUAAUUUGAAUUAAAAAAAAUGAAAUGUAAACAGUUAAAAUACUGUGAAAACAUAUCCCCAAAAGAUCAGAUUUCUCAU